AUGCUCAGCUUAAUGAGCUAGCCCUCGGGCUAGAAGCAUCUGGUGUGCCAUUCUUGUGGGUUGUUAGGGUUAAAACAUGGGAGCCACCGGUAGGGUGGAAAGAUCGUGUUGGGAACAGAGGCAUGGUUAUCAUGGGUUGGGCCCCACAAACCGAUAUACUCCAGCACCCAGCAGUGGGGGCAUUCGUGACGCAAUGCGGGUGGAACUCUGUCCUAGAGACAAUUGCGAUUGGCGUGCCAGUUUUGACAUGGCCAAUGGUGUACGAGCAGUUCAUCACUGAGAGGUUUCUGACUCAAGUGCUACAAUUCGGGGAGCGCCUGUGGCCGGAGGGCGCUGGGCUGCGGAGCACGAGGUAUGUAGAACAUGAUGUGAUCCCUGCUAAGGCAAUUGCGCAAUCUGUCGCAAACUUCAUGGAACAUGGAGGUGCUGCGGAAGCUGCGAGGAGAAGGGUAAUGGAACUUUCUCCAAAGGCUCAUGAGGCUAUGGCAGAAGGCGGAACCUCUAACCGUGAUCUGCAUCAGCUUAUUGAUGAUUUUAUUGGAGCAAGAGCGUCUGUUGUUGGGACUACGAUGUCAUGAAAAGAUUCAGGAAAAUCCAGGUGGAACGCAAGGCUUAAUUUCAUGAAGAGGGGCAGGUGGCUAUCUAUAUAUGCCAUGGUAAUUCAAGAAUAAAAGUUGUUGUUCGACAACCGGUUUACUGUAAAAUGUACCGCAUUGUUGCCGGUCACCACCAAACCCGGCGGUUCCAACUCCUCCAUCUUCUUCCACGCCAGCAAAAAAUCCACCGGAGCAUUCGGCUUUCCCACCCAAGGAUGGUUGAAGACCUUUGUCGGGUUGGAUGUUGCAUGUUGGAUAGUUUGGAAUUUUUGUUCGUUUGAAUGGAAUUUAUGUUGUGUUGAAUAAAUUGUGUUGGAUGUAAAGAAUGUAUUGAAUGUUCAGGAAUUUGUAUUGAAUGUUAAGGAAUAUUUGCAUCUUUGAUUAAAA